rnacentral:rRNA from 1 species
GUCUACGGCCAUACCACCCUGAACAUGCCCAUUUUUGUCUGAUCUCAGAAGCUAAGCAGGGUCGGGCCUGGUUAGUACUUAGAUGGGAGACAGAGUAAAAGAAAUAUAGGUGAUGUUUUCA